GGGUUGUGAGGUUAAGCGACUAAGCGUACACGGUGGAUGCCCUGGCAGUCAGAGGCGAUGAAGGACGUGCUAAUCUGCGAUAAGCGUCGGUAAGGUGAUAUGAACCGUUAUAACCGGCGAUUUCCGAAUGGGGAAACCCAGUGUGUUUCGACACACUAUCAUUAACUGAAUCCAUAGGUUAAUGAGGCGAACCGGGGGAACUGAAACAUCUAAGUACCCCGAGGAAAAGAAAUCAACCGAGAUUCCCCCAGUAGCGGCGAGCGAACGGGGAGCAGCCCAGAGCCUGAAUCAGUGUGUGUGUUAGUGGAAGCGUCUGGAAAGGCGUGCGAUACAGGGUGACAGCCCCGUACACAAAAAUGCACAUGCUGUGAGCUCGAUGAGUAGGGCGGGACACGUGGUAUCCUGUCUGAAUAUGGGGGACCAUCCUCCAAGGCUAAAUACUCCUGACUGACCGAUAGUGAACCAGUACCGUGAGGGAAAGGCGAAAAGAACCCCGGCGAGGGGAGUGAAAAAGAACCUGAAACCGUGUACGUACAAGCAGUGGGAGCACGCUUAGGCGUGUGACUGCGUACCUUUUGUAUAAUGGGUCAGCGACUUAUAUUCUGUAGCAAGGUUAACCGAAUAGGGGAGCCGAAGGGAAACCGAGUCUUAACUGGGCGUUAAGUUGCAGGGUAUAGACCCGAAACCCGGUGAUCUAGCCAUGGGCAGGUUGAAGGUUGGGUAACACUAACUGGAGGACCGAACCGACUAAUGUUGAAAAAUUAGCGGAUGACUUGUGGCUGGGGGUGAAAGGCCAAUCAAACCGGGAGAUAGCUGGUUCUCCCCGAAAGCUAUUUAGGUAGCGCCUCGUGAAUUCAUCUCCGGGGGUAGAGCACUGUUUCGGCAAGGGGGUCAUCCCGACUUACCAACCCGAUGCAAACUGCGAAUACCGGAGAAUGUUAUCACGGGAGACACACGGCGGGUGCUAACGUCCGUCGUGAAGAGGGAAACAACCCAGACCGCCAGCUAAGGUCCCAAAGUCAUGGUUAAGUGGGAAACGAUGUGGGAAGGCCCAGACAGCCAGGAUGUUGGCUUAGAAGCAGCCAUCAUUUAAAGAAAGCGUAAUAGCUCACUGGUCGAGUCGGCCUGCGCGGAAGAUGUAACGGGGCUAAACCAUGCACCGAAGCUGCGGCAGCGACACUAUGUGUUGUUGGGUAGGGGAGCGUUCUGUAAGCCUGUGAAGGUGUGCUGUGAGGCAUGCUGGAGGUAUCAGAAGUGCGAAUGCUGACAUAAGUAACGAUAAAGCGGGUGAAAAGCCCGCUCGCCGGAAGACCAAGGGUUCCUGUCCAACGUUAAUCGGGGCAGGGUGAGUCGACCCCUAAGGCGAGGCCGAAAGGCGUAGUCGAUGGGAAACAGGUUAAUAUUCCUGUACUUGGUGUUACUGCGAAGGGGGGACGGAGAAGGCUAUGUUGGCCGGGCGACGGUUGUCCCGGUUUAAGCGUGUAGGCUGGUUUUCCAGGCAAAUCCGGAAAAUCAAGGCUGAGGCGUGAUGACGAGGCACUACGGUGCUGAAGCAACAAAUGCCCUGCUUCCAGGAAAAGCCUCUAAGCAUCAGGUAACAUCAAAUCGUACCCCAAACCGACACAGGUGGUCAGGUAGAGAAUACCAAGGCGCUUGAGAGAACUCGGGUGAAGGAACUAGGCAAAAUGGUGCCGUAACUUCGGGAGAAGGCACGCUGAUAUGUAGGUGAAGCGACUUGCUCGUGGAGCUGAAAUCAGUCGAAGAUACCAGCUGGCUGCAACUGUUUAUUAAAAACACAGCACUGUGCAAACACGAAAGUGGACGUAUACGGUGUGACGCCUGCCCGGUGCCGGAAGGUUAAUUGAUGGGGUUAGCCGCAAGGCGAAGCUCUUGAUCGAAGCCCCGGUAAACGGCGGCCGUAACUAUAACGGUCCUAAGGUAGCGAAAUUCCUUGUCGGGUAAGUUCCGACCUGCACGAAUGGCGUAAUGAUGGCCAGGCUGUCUCCACCCGAGACUCAGUGAAAUUGAACUCGCUGUGAAGAUGCAGUGUACCCGCGGCAAGACGGAAAGACCCCGUGAACCUUUACUAUAGCUUGACACUGAACAUUGAGCCUUGAUGUGUAGGAUAGGUGGGAGGCUUUGAAGUGUGGACGCCAGUCUGCAUGGAGCCGACCUUGAAAUACCACCCUUUAAUGUUUGAUGUUCUAACGUUGACCCGUAAUCCGGGUUGCGGACAGUGUCUGGUGGGUAGUUUGACUGGGGCGGUCUCCUCCUAAAGAGUAACGGAGGAGCACGAAGGUUGGCUAAUCCUGGUCGGACAUCAGGAGGUUAGUGCAAUGGCAUAAGCCAGCUUGACUGCGAGCGUGACGGCGCGAGCAGGUGCGAAAGCAGGUCAUAGUGAUCCGGUGGUUCUGAAUGGAAGGGCCAUCGCUCAACGGAUAAAAGGUACUCCGGGGAUAACAGGCUGAUACCGCCCAAGAGUUCAUAUCGACGGCGGUGUUUGGCACCUCGAUGUCGGCUCAUCACAUCCUGGGGCUGAAGUAGGUCCCAAGGGUAUGGCUGUUCGCCAUUUAAAGUGGUACGCGAGCUGGGUUUAGAACGUCGUGAGACAGUUCGGUCCCUAUCUGCCGUGGGCGCUGGAGAACUGAGGGGGGCUGCUCCUAGUACGAGAGGACCGGAGUGGACGCAUCACUGGUGUUCGGGUUGUCAUGCCAAUGGCACUGCCCGGUAGCUAAAUGCGGAAGAGAUAAGUGCUGAAAGCAUCUAAGCACGAAACUUGCCCCGAGAUGAGUUCUCCCUGACUCCUUGAGAGUCCUGAAGGAACGUUGAAGACGACGACGUUGAUAGGCCGGGUGUGUAAGCGCAGCGAUGCGUUGAGCUAACCGGUACUAAUGAACCGUGAGGCUUAACCUUACAACGCCGAAGGUGUUU
rnacentral:rRNA from 1 species